rnacentral:lncRNA from 1 species
GGGUGUAAGUAUUCCUUCGACUUGAGAUCACCACGGUGACUUGCAAACAACUCAUUACACUUUGAUGUCAGACUAUUUAAAUUUUUAAUUUAGUGAUGAAAUAUUUUUAGGUGUAGUCAAGUACUUGUUAAGUCGGUGUGCAAGUCAAGAUGAGAUUGACCUCUCUGAAUUUAAGAGUUAAUGCAUCACUAUAUUUUAAUUUUAUAAAAUCUUGGUUAGGAU